rnacentral:rRNA from 1 species
GACGAACGCUGGCGGCGUGCUUAGCACAUGCAAGUCGAGCGGUAAGGCCCUUUCGGGGGUACACGAGCGGCGAACGGGUGAGUAACACGUGGGUGACCUGCCCUCAGCUCUGGGAUAAGCCUGGGAAACCGGGUCUAAUACUGGAUAUGACUCCAUGACGCAUGUUGUGGGGUGGAAAGCCUUGUGCGGCUGAGGAUGGGCCCGCGGCCUAUCAGCUUGUUGGUGGGGUGAUGGCCUACCAAGGCGACGACGGUAGCCGGCCUGAGAGGCGACCGGCCACACUGGGACUGAGACACGGCCCAGACUCCUACGGGAGGCAGCAGUGGGGAAUCUUGCGCAAUGGGCGAAAGCCUGACGCAGCGACGCCGCGUGAGGGAUGACGGCC